GACAACAAAGUAUGCAACUAAGGCAAUGGAAACAAGCAAGUGGUUCCCAACGGCUUUCUCAAUCCCAAGCAUCUGAAGUAGCCCAAGCUUCUCAAUCCCAACCAUCUCAAGUAGCUCUUGCUUCUCAAUCUCAUCCAUCUCAAGCAGCUCAGGCUUCUCAAACAUGUGAUUCAUCUCAAUCUGCCAAACUAUCUCGAGUACAACAACGUAGGAGGAGGAUGAAAGAUCAAC
rnacentral:lncRNA from 1 species